rnacentral:rRNA from 1 species
AUUGAACGCUGGCGGCGUGCUUAACGCAUGCAAGUCGAUCGGUAACAGGUGUAGCAAUACAUGCUGACGAGAGGCGGACGGGUGAGUAAUGCUUGGGAAUCUGCCUAUUAGUGGGGGACAACCCGGGGAACUCGGGCUAAUACCGCAUACGCUCUACGGAGGAAAGCCGGGGACCGCAAGGCCUGGCGCUAAUAGAUGAGCCCAAGUCGGAUUAGCUAGUUGGUAGGUAACGCCUACCAAGGCGACAAUCCGUAGCUGGUCUGAGAGGACGA